GAGAGAGACAGAGAAAGUGAAAGGGAGAAUGAGAGACAGGGAAAGUGAGAGAAAAAGGAGAGAGCAAGAGAGGAGGACCUGGCAAAAGAGAGUUUUUAUAGCCAAAAUCUAAAGGGCUCUCUGGAUCUGCAAGCUGCCUGUUGGCUACAGUGAUUGGAUCAUACAGUAAAAACUAAGGUGUCAUCUUCUGCCUUCAGGCAGAUCUUCAACAUUACAUAAAUUAAUAAAUAAAAUAAGGAUAUUGUGUUAUGUAAAAAAUAACUGUAAAGUUAUAAAGAUUAAAGUUAAAGCCCAGCAUUCUUACUUUCAAACUGGUAAAACUGACUUGCUGGAUGUUUAAGGCCAAAUUUAAAUAUUAAAGUUAAAAUAAAGGGGCCAAAGAAACCAAUAUUUGGCUCUUGCCCUGUAAGUCAGCCUGAACCCAGGACAGGGGGAAAAGCUUUGCAACUCCGGGCCACAUAACCUCCUGAUAAGGGAGAUUAAUGAGACCAAUGGAGAACAGAAAGCCAAUGAGUGUACAUGCUGCAAAAGAGGAGGGUCAUUUAAAAAGGAGACAUGCCUGAUGCUUCCAAGGGAAGCCAUAUGGCCAGCAAGACCUUGACCCAUCCUAAUGCAGAUGACACUAACAGAGCUAAAAUGCUACUCACACGUUCCCCAAGAAUGUCCUCCAAGGAAACUCAGCUGACUCUUACCAAUAGAAAGAAACACGGUCAGUUUGACCAGCUUGGUCUUAAACACCUAGCAAAAACAGUUAAAACCAAAGCACAGCCAUUCCUGGGCAUUUAAAAAGAAACAACAGUUAUUUUAAUGUAACUUAAAAUGUACACUAGUGUUAACAUCCCCCAAAAUAAGUAAGACUGGAGGCAACAAAAGAAAAAUUCUUAGGCAAAAAUGCCUGAUAACUAUCUAUAAAAAAACUGCCAGAAGUUUUUAGUCAGUUCAAGCCCUACAGAUCUUCCUAACUUCCUACACAGGUAGAUGUAAUCAAUGUAUAUUAAUAAAAUUAUCUAGCCUUAAGUAACAAAAGGAUCUUUACUGAACACAGUAGUCAUGCCAAAAAGGUAUUUUUGCAAAAAUCAGAUGACAUUAACUAAUUUAACUAAAUGUUGUGUCUACAUUCCUGAUAAUUCUGACAAUGUUAAAGAUUUAUGUUCCCUAAAAAAGUGCCUUAUUAGGCUUUGUUAGUCCUUGUUAUUGGGACAUUUUCUCAGGUCUUCUGCCUCCUGGUAAACAAUUAUUAAUUUCUGUCCAUUUCCUGAUAUUCAUGGACAGGUUCCAGAUGCUACAACUGCUAUUUUGUAUUAAUCUUACUUCAGCACUCAUGUCUUUUUGUUUCUCUCAUAGAAGUGUCCACCCCAGGUGAAUUUACAUCCUGUUCUUCCUGAGCCAGAUUUUUACCAUGGACUCCUUGACCCACUCAGUUUCUAAAAAGGGACUCCAAACUGCUUGCCAACUGCACAUCGCCCCCCUUUCAGCUGGAAGUAGCAAGAACUGUCAUUGCCCUUUUCCCUUAUGGCAGUUGGAGGUCCCUAAUAUUAGAGGAAAAAUUACGGUCAAUAUAGAUGUUCACCAAAAUGUCUAGCUCAGGAAGAUGUACCUGGGAAACUACUCCCAAGAUCACCCUGGGUGAUCUCCCAGAAAGAGACACUCCCUUCCACAACCCAACUUAUAAGUGGGACAACUCCCCGUUCACCAAAAAUUGUGCUUUUCGGUUCCCACUUUGAAAUCCUUGACUAAAUCUCCAAACUGUGAAUAACUCCGAACUAUGUAACCUAUUAUUUUGAUGGAGUAAAAGGAAAAGAACACGUGGACUUAUUAAAAGGCCAGGCCCCACUGAUUUAUCAACAUAGACUGGCUACCCCCAUUUUAGUUCCCCUCCUAGCUGGUAUCUACUGCUUUGGAAACUACAGCUCUUAUCACAAGCUCUAAAAAUUUUAAGUCCCUCAGCCAUCAAAUAAAUACAGAUUUAGGAAAACUAGAAAGGUCAAUCUCCAAACUAGAGGUUUCACUAGACUCUCUGACAGAAAUAGUCUUACAAAACAGAUGAGGUCUAGAUGGUCUCUUUCUGAAACAAGGAGGACUUUGUAUGGCUCCAGUAGAAACUUGUUUCUCUGCAAACCAUUCUGGGAUAAUAAAAAACAGUUUGGCACUUGUGAGAAACAGGUUAAAGAAAAAAAAAAGAUGAAGCACUAGAAACUUCAGGCAAUUGGUUCUAAAACAUAUUCUUAUGGUCCCCUUGGUUGACUACCAUCAUUUCAGCCAUAAUUGGGCCCCUAGUCCUUCACCUGAUUGGUAUUACUGUAGGACCCUGCCUCUUAAAAACCCUCCUAAACCAUAUACACAAAAAAAUGUAGAUGGGGUCAGACUUAUGUUCUUGCGACCACAGUAUAGUCCCUUAGACACAGAAGGAUGAAACAAAAACUGAGGCCUAAUGAUGUGCAAGAUUGACAUCAAACCUACUAAAACCAGUGGGGAAUGUGAUAGUAGGAGCAAAUGUGACUCCAUUUUGUUUUAUGACUUCAUCCUGUAAAACAACCAUGCCAAGUAGAAGAGUCAUGACUGGAGCAAGAUGUUCUUUUCCUUUUGCUAUAGAAACCUUUAAGAACACGGAACUACCUAAUGGGG
rnacentral:lncRNA from 1 species